UACGUAGGGUGCAAGCGUUAAUCGGAACUACUGGGCGUAAAGCGUGCGCAGGCGGUUUUGUAAGUUUGUCGUGAAAUCCCCGGGCUCAACCUGGGAAUGGCGAUGAAGACUGCAAGGCUAGAGUUUGGCAGAGGGGGGUAGAAUUCCACGUGUAGCAGUGAAAUGCGUAGAUAUGUGGAGGAACACCGAUGGCGAAGGCAGCCCCCUGGGUCAAAACUGACGCUCAUGCACGAAAGCGUGGGGAGCAAACAGG
rnacentral:rRNA from 1 species